rnacentral:rRNA from 1 species
AUUGAACGCUGGCGGCAUGUCUUACACAUGCAAGUCGAGCGCGAAAGGGGGCAACCCCGAGUAGAGCGGCGGACGGGUGAGUAAUACAUCGGAACGUACCCAGUAGUGGGGGACAACCUCGAGAAAUCGAGGCUAAUACCGCAUACGACCCACGGGUGAAAGCGGGGGACCGCAAGGCCUCGCGCUAUUGGAGCGGCCGAUGUCCGAUUAGCUAGUUGGCGGGGUAAGAGCCCACCAAGGCGACGAUCGGUAGCUGGUCUGAGAGGACGACCAGCCACACUGGGACUGAGACACGGCCCAGACUCCUACGGGAGGCAGCAGUGGGGAAUUUUGGACAAUGGGGGCAACCCUGAUCCAGCCAUGCCGCGUGCGGGAAGAAGGCCUUCGGGUUGUAAACCGCUUUCGGCCGGAACGAAAUCGCCCGGGUGAACAUCCCGGGUGGAUGACGGUACCGGAAGAAGAAGCACCGGCUAACUACGUGCCAGCAGCCGCGGUAAAAC